ACUUAAUGAAUAUCUUGGUAAAAAAUAAACGGACGUCGUGCGACGAAACUUUGUAUGUAGGCAUUAGCUUGUGAUAUACAAAUAUCCAAUUGGGAAACCUUAAACCUUAAAUUGGUGUGAAUUGAAUCAUCUUAGUAACACUAAAAAAAAUCAAAAGAGAAACUGUUAGUAAUGGCGAAUGAAUACAGAUAUAGCUUAAUUUUUACUUUUUUAUAGAAAUAACUUUAAAGGGUUUAAGUCCCGUAUAUAUUAAAUAAAAUAAUUAUAUGUAAUUAAUGCGAAAUUUAAUUUGCAUGAAUAUAGGAGAACCACCUUCUAAGCUAUUUAAAAUUUUUUAACCGAUAGUGAACAAGUACCGUGAGGGAAAGAUAAGAUAUUUUGAAAGAAAUUUGAGUUUGAAGUUGUGUGUUUAUAAUUUUUUGAAGUUACUUGUUAACAACAAAAUGCCUUUUGCAUAAUGAGUCAGUAAGUUAAUAAUUAUAGCAAGCCUAAAUUUUAAAAUAGUAGGCAUUUAGAAGUUAUAUUUUUUAUACCUGAAUCCAAGUGAUCUAGUUGAAAGCAAGUUAAAAACUUAUUAAUAUAAGUUGGAGGACUGUACCCGUAUAUGUAGCAAAAUAUAGGGAUGACUUUUAAUUAGGGGCGAAAGACCAAUCAAACUUGGUGAUAGCCGGUUUUUCACGAAAUGUAUUUUAGUACUGUGUUACUAUUUUUUUAAGUAAUCUGAAGGUAAAGUACUUAUUAAGCAAAGGGAUCAUAUCGAUUUACUAAGCUUAUUUUAACUUAUAAUUUUAGUUUAAUAAAAGUAACAGACAGUCUUUAAGCGAUAAGGUUUAAAGACAAGAGGAAAACAAUCCAGAUUGUAUAUUAAGAUCUUAAAAUUAUAGUUUAUUGAAAAAAUUUUUAUUUUCGCAAAUACUAAAGAUAAGCUUAGAAGCAGCUUUUCAUUAGAGAAAGCGUUUUAGCUCAAUAUUUAUUUUAUAAAAAUUUAAAAUGAAAUGAGACUUUAAACUAUAUAUCGAUAUAACAAAUUAAAGUUAAUUACUUUAAUGGUAGUGAAAUAUUCUGUAUAAUUUUAUUAAUGUAAAUUUUUGAAAAUAUUCAGAGGUGCUAAUGCUGACAUGAGUAGCGUAAACUAUGUAUAAAUCAUAGUCACUUUAAUGUCCAAGGUUUUCAAUGUAAUUUUUUAUAUAUUGAGUUAGUCGGUCCUUAAAAGGAGAGUGAAGACUGUACUUGAUAGGUAAAAAAACUUAUUAUAUGCAGUAAUUUUUUUACUGUUAAAAAGUUUUAUUUUUUAUUUUUUCUGAUAAAGGUAAGUAUAUUAUAAAAAGUUUUACUUCGAGAAAAAAUUAUAAUAUAGGAGAGACCGUACUUAAACCAACACAGGAGGAUUUUUUAUUAAAUAAAGUGUAUGAAUAAAUUAUACUGAAGGAAUUAGGCAAAUUUACUCUGUACGUUCGCUAUAAAGAGAACUGAAUUUACUUCAGUAACAUUAACUAAAAAGCAACGACUGGUUACCAAAACCAUAGGACUCUGCAAAUUAAAAUAAGAUGUAUAGAGUUUGACGUCUGCCCAGUGCUUAAAAGUGAUUAUUAAAAGUAUUUAGCUUUUAUCUAACCUUAAGUAAACGGCGGUUCUAACUAUAAGAAUCCUUAGGUAGCGAAAUUCCUUGACGGGUAAAUUCCGUCCUGCAUGAAUGACGUCACGAUUGCUUUACUGUCUCCAGUAUAAAUUCAGCGAAAUUACAUAAUCCAUGAAAAUGUGGAUUACCUACAGUAAGACGGAAAGACCCUAGAUCCUUUACUCUAUUUUUACAUUGUAAAAUUUUAUUUUAAAGUACAGCAUAGAUGGGAGUAUUCUACUAAAUAUGAGAUACCAUUUUUUAAUUUAAAUUUUACUUAUUUGAUAAUGCAAAAACCGUAUAAGAAUGGGAGUUUACUUGGGACGAGUACCUCCUAAAUUGUAACGGAGGUGUACAAAGGUAGGUUUCAAUUACUUUUUUAUAAGUAAUGUAGCGUAUAAUGGCAAAAACUUGCUUAACAAUGAGAUUAAUUAAUCAAUUUGGAACUAAAGUUUGUCAUAAUGAUCCGAUAUUUAUGUGUGGAAGUACUAUCGCUUAACAAAUAAAAGGAACUCUAGGGAUAACAGAUUUAUCGUGGUUGAGAGUUCUUAUUGAUGCCACGGUUUGAUACCUCGAUGUCGACUCAUCUUAUCCUGAAGUUGAAGCAGAUUUCAAGGGUCUAGUUGUUCGCUAGUUAAAGAGGUACGCGAGCUGGGUUUAGAACGUCGUGAGACAGUUCGGUCCCUAUCUGCUGUAGGAUUUGAAAAAUAAUAAAUCUGUUUUUAGUACGAGAGGACCGAAACAGUUUAACCACUGGUGUAUUGGUUGUUAAACCUUUAGCAUUGCCAAGUAGCUACGUUAAAUUUAUUAUAGAGACUGAAAGAAUCAAAAGUCUUAAGAUAAUUUUUAUUUUUUCAUUAGGGUUCUGUAAGAUAAACAGAUAGAUCGAUUUAAGGCUAUUUUUAGAAAUAAGAUAAGUCCUAUAAAAACGAA
rnacentral:rRNA from 1 species